rnacentral:rRNA from 1 species
GGAUUCGUCAGUUGGUCGGGCUUCACUGUCCGUAUUGACUUGAUGGAUUCUUACCUUCUGAAUAACCAGCAUGCUAUUAAGUUAGUGCGUUGGGGAAGCAGAUCUAUUACCUUGAAAAAAUUAGAGUGCUUAAAGCGAGCUAGUGCUUGAAUAGAUUAGCAUGGAAUAAUAAAAUAGGACGGCAUGGUUCUAUUUUGUUGGUUUCUAGGAUCACCGUA